AGCAGGCGCGCAAAUUACCCAAUCCCGACANGGGGAGGUAGUGACAAUAAAUAACAACACAGGGCUCUUUUGGGUCUUGUUAUUGGAAUGAGUACGAUUUAAAUCUCCUAACGAGGAACAAUUGGAGGGCAAGUCUGGUGCCAGCAGCCGCGGUAAUUCCAGCUCCAAUAGCGUAUAUUAAAGUUGUUGCAGUUAAAAAGCUCGUAGUUGAAUUUCAGGCCUGGCUGGACGGUCCGCCCUUCGGGUGAGUACUGUCUGUGGUCGGGUCCUACCUUCUGGCGAAGCGUCAUGGCCUUAACCGGCCGUGGCGGGGAACCAGGACUUUUACUGUGAAAAAAUUAGAGUGUUCAAAGCAGGCAAUCGCUUGGAUACAUUAGCAUGGAAUAAUGGAAUAGGACAAUGGUUCUAUUUGUUGGUUUCUAGGACCGUUGUAAUGAUUAAUAGGGAUAGUUGGGGGCAUUAGUAUUCAAUUGUCAGAGGUGAAAUUCUUGGAUUUAUUGAAGACUAACUACUGCGAAAGCAUUUGCCAAGGAUGUUUUCAUUAAUCAAGAACGAAAGUUAGGGGAUCGAAGACGAUCAGAUACCGUCGUAGUCUUAACCAUAAACUAUGCCGACUAGGAAUCGGGCGAUGUUGACAAAAUGACGCGCUCGGCACCUCAUGGGAAACCAAAGUGUUUGGGUUCA
rnacentral:rRNA from 1 species